rnacentral:rRNA from 1 species
GUAGGUGGCAAGCGUUAUCCGGAAUNAUUGGGCGUAAAGAGGGAGCAGGCGGCAGCAAGGGUCUGUGGUGAAAGCCUGAAGCUUAACUUCAGUAAGCCAUAGAAACCAGGCAGCUAGAGUGCAGGAGAGGAUCGUGGAAUUCCAUGUGUAGCGGUGAAAUGCGUAGAUAUAUGGAGGAACACCAGUGGCGAAGGCGACGAUCUGGCCUGCAACUGACGCUCAGUCCCGAAAGCGUGGGGAGCAAAUAGGAUUAGAUACCCUAGUAGUCCACGCCGUAAACGAUGAGUACUAAGUGUUGGAUGUCAAAGUUCAGUGCUGCAGUUAACGCAAUAAGUACUCCGCCUGAGUAGU